UUCUCUUGAAAGUCUUCGAAUAUACGACUGCACGGAGCUUGAGCUAUCUGCAGAUGGCAUCCAAAUAUUCCAAGAUUAUACGAGCCUACGGCAUCUCCAUCUGGUAAACAUUCCAAAGUGUCAGCAUCUUCCGGAGUGGAUUCAACAUCUAACAAAUCUAAAAAAGCUUCGUCUAGUAUGUUUGCCGAAUUUAACAUCGCUUCCGGACGAGAUGCAUGGCCUAACCAGUUUGGAAGAGUUGGAUAUACUAAAUGUGCCCCAGUUGGAGGAAAGAUGUAGGAAGGACAUUGGUGCCGAUUGGCAUAAGAUUGCUCACAUCCCACACAUUGAGGUGAAUUGGGUUACGGUGCAAGACCUACUGGAGGGCAGUUGAGUAUUUAUGUGAAUUUAUAAGCAGAGAAACAGGAGCAUGAAAGAUAAUACAUUCCUCAGCAUUCUACUCCCAAUUUUCGUCACUGAAGCACAGGCCCUCAAAGAGAUAUCAACACAGAGACGAAUAGAUUGGCUGAGGGAGGAAUCGGUUGAGUGCAACCAUGGCAGGGGUCCAUAGUUGGUUCUUAUACGAGUUGGAAGGGGUCGUGGAUGCUGGUUAAUUGCUUUAGGCAGGUUUUCUGAUUGGUGAAUAGAUUGUACAGGUUAAUGGAUGUUCCUGUUAUGUACUGAUGUUAUUUAAUAAAAUAAUU